GAUGAACGCUGGCGGCGUGCCUAAUACAUGCAAGUCGAGCGAACGGACGAGAAGCUUGCUUCUCUGAUGUUAGCGGCGGACGGGUGAGUAAUACGUGGAUAACCUACCUAUAAGACUGGGAUAACUUCGGGAAACCGGAGCUAAUACCGGAUAAUAUUUUGAACCGCAUGGUUCAAAAGUGAAAGACGGUCUUGCUGUCACUUAUAGAUGGAUCCGCGCUGCAUUAGCUAGUUGGUAAGGUAACGGCUUACCAAGGCAACGAUGCAUAGCCGACCUGAGAGGGUGAUCGGCCACACUGGAACUGAGACACGGUCCAGACUCCUACGGGAGGCAGCAGUAGGGAAUCUUCCGCAAUGGGCGAAAGCCUGACGGAGCAACGCCGCGUGAGUGAUGAAGGUCUUCGGAUCGUAAAACUCUGUUAUUAGGGAAGAACAUAUGUGUAAGUAACUGUGCACAUCUUGACGGUACCUAAUCAGAAAGCCACGGCUAACUACGUGCCAGCAGCCGCGGUAAUACGUAGGUGGCAAGCGUUAUCCGGAAUUAUUGGGCGUAAAGCGCGCGUAGGCGGUUUUUUAAGUCUGAUGUGAAAGCCCACGGCUCAACCGUGGAGGGUCAUUGGAAACUGGAAAACUUGAGUGCAGAAGAGAAAAGUGGAAUUCCAUGUGUAGCGGUGAAAUGCGCAGAGAUAUGGAGGAACACCAGUGGCGAAGGCGACUUUCUGGUCUGUAACUGACGCUGAUGUGCGAAAGCGUGGGGAUCAAACAGGAUUAGAUACCCUGGUAGUCCACGCCGUAAACGAUGAGUGCUAAGUGUUAGGGGGUUUCCGCCCCUUAGUGCUGCAGCUAACGCAUUAAGCACUCCGCCUGGGGAGUACGACCGCAAGGUUGAAACUCAAAGGAAUUGACGGGGACCCGCACAAGCGGUGGAGCAUGUGGUUUAAUUCGAAGCAACGCGAAGAACCUUACCAAAUCUUGACAUCCUUUGACAACUCUAGAGAUAGAGCCUUCCCCUUCGGGGGACAAAGUGACAGGUGGUGCAUGGUUGUCGUCAGCUCGUGUCGUGAGAUGUUGGGUUAAGUCCCGCAACGAGCGCAACCCUUAAGCUUAGUUGCCAUCAUUAAGUUGGGCACUCUAAGUUGACUGCCGGUGACAAACCGGAGGAAGGUGGGGAUGACGUCGAAUCAUCAUGCCCCUUAUGAUUUGGGCUACACACGUGCUACAAUGGACAAUACAAAGGGCAGCGAAACCGCGAGGUCAAGCAAAUCCCAUAAAGUUGUUCUCAGUUCGGAUUGUAGUCUGCAGCUCGACUACAUGAAGCUGGAAUCGCUAGUAAUCGUAGAUCAGCAUGCUACGGUGAAUACGUUCCCGGGUCU
rnacentral:rRNA from 1 species